CAAAGCUGUUGGGAAACUCGUCAAACUAAUAUGAAAUACCGAGACAUUUCCCUUUCUCUAAUGGCGGGCCUCGCCUCGUAAGAGGGUCAUUUGCGACCGGAGGAUUACAAAGGUGGAGGGAAACUCAAAUCCUGUCUAUCGGAGUUUCAUCGCACUCUUUGGUGUGGAUUUUUU
rnacentral:sRNA from 1 species